UCCAUCUGUCAGGACUUCACAAUAGUCGAAUACCGAUAGCAGGAUAUUCGUUGUUGAUGAAGUCUUAAUGGGUGUU
rnacentral:pre_miRNA from 1 species